rnacentral:rRNA from 1 species
AUACAGAGGGAGCAAGCGUUAUUCGGAAUCACUGGGCGUAAAGGACGCGUAGGCGGGUUUGUAAGUCAGGUGUGAAAUCCUACAGCUCAACUGUAGAACUGCACUUGAAACUACAGACCUAGAGUAUGGAAGGGGCAGAUGGAAUUAGUGGUGUAGGGGUAAAAUCCGUAGAUAUCACUAGGAAUACCGAAAGCGAAGGCGAUCUGCUGGGACAUUACUGACGCUGAGGCGUGAAAGCGUGGGGAGCAAACAGGAUUAGAAACCCGAGUAGUCC